ensembl:ncRNA C08G9.7 ncRNA
UCCAUUCAUUCCUUUCAUCCACCCUUGCCAUCUCGAUCAGAAACGUUUUUUUGUUCAACCGAGCACCGCCCGUUAGAAGAAUUGGCUUUGUUGUUAGCCACUUUUUGUAUGUGAGAGUGUGUGAGACUGCCCUCAGGGAAAAGGUGCAUGAUGACGGACCCGUUUUUCCAACAUUUUCCAAGGAAUGUCGUGAUUUUUUCAUGAGUUUU